UAACAAUGAUUUCCCUAGUAACGGCGAGUGAAGAGGAAAGAGCUCAAAGUUGGAAUCCGGCUGCCCUAGGUAGUUGGAAUUGUAAACUGGAGAGGUGUUUUCCAGGCGAGCCAAGCAAAUAAGUCCUUUGGAACAGGGCAUCAUAGAGGGUGAGAAUCCCGUCUUUGGCUUGAGCAUUGCCUUUUGCGAUACACUUUCAAAGAGUCAGGUUGUUUGGGAAUGCAGCCUAAAUUGGGUGGUAAAUCUCACCUAAAGCUAAAUAUUGGCGAGAGACCGAUAGCGAACAAGUACCGUGAGGGAAAGAUGAAAAGAACUUUGAAAAGAGAGUUAAACAGUAUGUGAAAUUGUUGAAAGGGAACCGGUUGGAGCCAGACCGGCUGUUCUAUAAUCAAUCUCUGCUUCGGUAGGGAUGCACUUGUAGGACUUUAGCCUGCCAACAGCAAUUUUCUUUGGUGGAAAAAACUAGGAGGAAUGUGGCCCUUCGGGGUGUUAUAGCCUCUUAGAAAAUACACUGAAGGGGAUUGAGGACUGCAGCAAAUGCUUUUGGCGAAAUAACUGGGUGCUUGUGUUAAGGAAGUAUAGAAUUUCUGCUUCGGGUGGUGCUAUGCUCUAAGAUGCAACUCGCUUAGACUAUUUUCUAUUUGCUUAGGUUGUUGGCUUAAUGACUC
rnacentral:rRNA from 1 species